GUGAGGAAUAUUGGACAAUGGGCGCAAGCCUGAUCCAGCCAUGCCGCGUGCAGGAAGACGCAUCUAUGGUGUGUAAACUGCUUUUGUACGGGAAGAAACACUCCCUCGUGAGGGAGCUUGACGGUACCGUAAGACUAAGGAUCGGCUAACUCCGUGCCAGCAGCCGCGGUAAUACGGAGGAUCCAAGCGUUAUCCGGAAUCAUUGGGUUUAAAGGGUCCGUAGGCGGUUUAAUAAGUCAGUGGUGAAAGCCCAUCGCUCAACGAUGGAACGGCCAUUGAUACUGUUAGACUUAAAUUACAAGGAAGUAACUAGAAUAUGUAGUGUAGCGGUGAAAUGCUUAGAUAUUACAUGGAAUACCAAUUGCGAAGGCAGGUUACUACUUGUGGAUUGACGCUGAUGGACGAAAGCGUGGGGAGCGAACAGGAUUAGAAACCCCGGUAGUCC
rnacentral:rRNA from 1 species